UUAAAAUACAAACACAAUAUAAGUUGUUAUCGGUGCUCGGAUAAGUUUGACCGAAAAGCCGUCCAUGUGGAUACGUGAAGGAGGCGUCAGCCAUCAGUUUCUAAAUGGACUACAUAGCACAAGUCGUCCCUUCCUCCAUGUCCAUCGCUCCGGGAGACGUGUCUACAACAACCCCUGGCCUCGGGAGACCAUGGAUGUCCUCCAUAAUGUGGAACCUCAACCCCCAUGUUCACGUUUUGAGGCUCACAUGAGGGCGUGUCCCGGCCUGAUCAGACCGCCGUACUUCCCACGCACACACCGUCUACCAAGACCUCCGAUGAAGAUCCUCCGUGUGCCAAAACUGCCAAGACAGCAAGAAACUCGGAGAAAGCAGAACUCCCUACAGCACUUCUCUGUGAUGCUUCCCAGUGUACCAGCAUCUCCACAUCCAAGCGUGGCCUCUAGAGACCCCCUGCGCUCUCCAACACCGUCUGUCCACUCGGGGACAAACCCAGACAAGUUCCAGUCUUUCCAUGUUCCCUCUCCAAGCUCAGAACACACUACAAUAAAGCAGGAAGAUGUAGUAAGUCA
ensembl:lncRNA